UCGNNAGGGUACUACGAGCGUUAGCUUAAAACCCAAAGGACUUGGCGGUGCCCAAACCCACCUAGAGGAGCCUGUUCUAUAAUCGAUACCCCCCGCUUUACCUCACCACUUCUUGUCAAUACCGCCUGUAUACCUCCGUCACCAACCUACCCCUUGAGGAAAAAAGUAAGUACAAUGAUAUCUUAUCUAAACGUCAGGUCAAGGUGCAGCGUAUGAAGUGGAAAGAAAUGGGCUACAUUUUCUAUAUUAGACUACACGAAAGAUUACUAUGAAAUCUAAUCUGAAGGCGGAUUUAACAGUAAAGAGAAACUAGAGUGUUCUCUUUAAACUGGCCCUGGGCGCGC
rnacentral:rRNA from 1 species